GAUGAACGCUGGCGGCGUGCCUAAUACAUGCAAGUCGAGCGAACGGACGAGAAGCUUGCUUCUCUGAUGUUAGCGGCGGACGGGUGAGUAACACGUGGAUAACCUACCUAUAAGACUGGGAUAACUUCGGGAAACCGGAGCUAAUACCGGAUAAUAUUUUGAACCGCAUGGUUCAAAAGUGAAAGACGGUCUUGCUGUCACUUAUAGAUGGAUCCGCGCUGCAUUAGCUAGUUGGUAAGGUAACGGCUUACCAAGGCAACGAUGCAUAGCCGACCUGAGAGGGUGAUCGGCCACACUGGAACUGAGACACGGUCCAGACUCCUACGGGAGGCAGCAGUAGGGAAUCUUCCGCAAUGGGCGAAAGCCUGACGGAGCAACGCCGCGUGAGUGAUGAAGGUCUUCGGAUCGUAAAACUCUGUUAUUAGGGAAGAACAUAUGUGUAAGUAACUGUGCACAUCUUGACGGUACCUAAUCAGAAAGCCACGGCUAACUACGUGCCAGCAGCCGCGGUAAUACGUAGGUGGCAAGCGUUAUCCGGAAUUAUUGGGCGUAAAGCGCGCGUAGGCGGUUUUUUAAGUCUGAUGUGAAAGCCCACGGCUCAACCGUGGAGGGUCAUUGGAAACUGGAAAACUUGAGUGCAGAAGAGGAAAGUGGAAUUCCAUGUGUAGCGGUGAAAUGCGCAGAGAUAUGGAGGAACACCAGUGGCGAAGGCGACUUUCUGGUCUGUAACUGACGCUGAUGUGCGAAAGCGUGGGGAUCAAACAGGAUUAGAUACCCUGGUAGUCCACGCCGUAAACGAUGAGUGCUAAGUGUUAGGGGGUUUCCGCCCCUUAGUGCUGCAGCUAACGCAUUAAGCACUCCGCCUGGGGAGUACGACCGCAAGGUUGAAACUCAAAGGAAUUGACGGGGACCCGCACAAGCGGUGGAGCAUGUGGUUUAAUUCGAAGCAACGCGAAGAACCUUACCAAAUCUUGACAUCCUUUGACCGCUCUAGAGAUAGAGCCUUCCCCUUCGGGGGGGCAAAGUGACAGGUGGUGCAUGGUUGUCGUCAGCUCGUGUCGUGAGAUGUUGGGUUAAGUCCCGCAACGAGCGCAACCCUUAAGCUUAGUUGCCAUCAUUAAGUUGGGCACUCUAAGUUGACUGCCGGUGACAAACCGGAGGAAGGUGGGGAUGACGUCAAAUCAUCAUGCCCCUUAUGAUUUGGGCUACACACGUGCUACAAUGGACAAUACAAAGGGCAGCGAAACCGCGAGGUCAAGCAAAUCCCAUAAAGUUGUUCUCAGUUCGGAUUGUAGUCUGCAACUCGACUACAUGAAGCUGGAAUCGCUAGUAAUCGUAGAUCAGCAUGCUACGGUGAAUACGUUCCCGGGUCU
rnacentral:rRNA from 1 species